GAUGAACGCUAGCGGCAGGCUUAAUACAUGCAAGUUGAGGGGCAGCAUGAUAUACGCGAGUAUAUUGAUGGCGACCGGCGGACGGGUGAGUAAUAGGUAGGAGACCUACCUCAUACAGGGGGAUAGCAUAGAGAAAUCUGUGGUAAUACCCCAUGAGGUUAUAUGAAUAGAGGCAUAUAAUCAAAAGCAUAAGCGAUUAUGCGGUAUGAGAGGGGCCUACUGACCAUUAGCUAGUUGGUGAGGUAAGGGCUCACCAAGGCGAAGAUGGGUUAGGGGUUUGAGAGAGAGACCCCCCAAUUGGAACUGAGAGACGGUCCAGACUCCUACGGGAGCAGCAGUAGGGAAUAUUGGGCAAUGGGCGAAAGCCUGACCCAGCCAUGCCGCGUGAAGGAAGACGGCCUUAAUGGGUUGUAAAACUUCUUUAACUACGCGAAAUAGAGGUUAGUACGAAGAUAACUAAAUAGGAAAGGUAGUAGUAAGUAAAAAAGCAACCGGCUAAACUCCGUGACCC
rnacentral:rRNA from 1 species